CUCCUCAUUCUUAUUACAGUGAACUGCUCUGCUUUGUUGUGCCUUGCAUACACUACGUAUCUUUAUUUUAUAGAGCAUUUAUGCCACCGUACACAUAAUACAUAACAGAGCAUUUCAGCAUGGAAGCAAUUGCCUCUUACACUGAAGUAAAUCUGGAAUUGACAGUUCUAAAAUGCUUAUAACUGCAGGACUGUCUUUCAUAGACUCACAGAUUUUAAGGCCAGAUGGGACCAUUAGAUCAUCUAGUCUGAGCUCAUCUGAAAACCUGCUCUGGUUCUUCCCUAAUAAUGGGUGUCCAUGCGAUGCCAUCAGGACCUACCAGCACAGCAUCCCAGGAUUCGUGUUUCAGUUGUCACUAUGCACAGUGCAGCCAGCGUAUCAGCUGCAUGAAGCAUCCUUCCAACUCCAAAUCGCCGAGGCACUCAGAACUACCACCUUCCUCCGGCAAUCCUACUUGCACAAAGGAAGCAGGCCUGAGCUGGAUCAAACUGCCUGCCCGAAGUACUUUCUAUCUCACUUUGAUAUUGACAGCCAUGCCUGUUGGAGCAGACAUUCUCAAGGGUAAAGUCCUAGAACAACAGCAAUUCCACAAUGAUUUAAUUCCUUCCAAGUACUUACAGAAGAUGAAUGGUUAUCAUUAGCACUGAAACUGUGGAACUGAGGAAAGUAGGACUGGGAAGUCUGUCUGCAGAACUUGUUGCUCCAAGACAGAAUCAGCUCUACAUUUUUUCAUUCCUCUUCUUAAAAGCCUCCAGCCACAAAGGGGACAGUCUGUUCCAGAACUGCUCUGCAUGAAUUAUCAGAACACUGGGUUUUUUGAAAUUUCUCCUAACAUCCAAUUCUUCCUAACAAUUAUUUCAUCCCAUUUCCUCUUAUACAAAAUCAAACCUAUCUCUUCCUCUCUGCACCAUACUUUUUCAUGUUUGAAGACUACUGAUAGGACCCCACAAGAGUUUUCCCUGACCUAGAGUAAACAGCAUCCAUCUACGUCUCCAUAACAGCCACAAUAUCUUGACAGGACAUGGUGACCAUGCCCAUCACUCUUGUCCGGAUUGUCUCCAAGUGGUCAACAUCUUUCUGCAAGGACAAAGGUAUACCCCAAAGUGAUCAGCAUCUUUUGGGAUGACAUCGCCUGUGCUAAGCAUGGCAUAGAAGUUACUUAACACACCUUUCAGAUUAUAUUUACAUUUAUGAAUUCCUAGAUGAUGUUUUCCAUUUUCGCAAUAGCAUGACAUUGCUCAGUUUGUAAUCUUUCCAAAGAACUGCUGUCAAAACAGGUGUUCCCCUUCUCGUAUUCCUGCAGUUUAUUGUUUCUGUUGAACUACCAUUCUUCUGUACUCAGUUAACAAAGUUUCAACCUAUUCUUAUCAACCCUUUACCCCAUUCUCAAGGCCAUUCUCUAUUCAUAAAGCUUCUGACUCUCAGUUUUCUACAAAUUUAACAUGUAUAAUGUGUAUUGCAUCACUCAGGUCAUGGUCUAAUGAGAGCUGGGCACAGCUCUGUAGAGCACUCCCCAACACAUAUUUCUGCUGUGAUACUACUUCAUCCUCCUAAACUUCACUUUCCCAAGCAGUUUCUCUAGCUAGUUUUGGUUUUACCUAACAGCAUUUUCCUCCAGCCCAGGUUUCCCCUGCUUCAAAAAAUGUCAUGCAAGCCACUUUUAAAGACCUCACAGCUCUCAAGAGACCUAUGUCAAUUGUUUCUUCUCUUUCCAUGAAGUCUGUUACUCUGCUGCACAAGGAAAUCCAAGUGGUUUGAUAAUUCAUUCUUGACAAAUCUGUGCUGGCAGCUUUUUACUUUCUUGUUAUCCUUCAGCUGCUUUCAAAUGUUUGAUUUUUUUUUAUUCCCCUCCCCAGAAUUUUUCUGUGGACUGGAGCUGGAGUUAGAACUGGUUGAUCUGUAAUCCUCUGGCUUCUCUUUUUCCCCCACUUUUCCAAAAUGAAAGACAUUAUGUUUUCUCUUUUCCAGCCUCUGGUACAUCACCUAUCUCAGAUGAGCUCUCAAAGAAAACACUAAUGGCACUGAGAUCCCUUUAGACAAACCCUGGAACAAAGCCCAUCACAACCAGUCCACUGGAAAACAUCUGAAUCACCUGUAAAUCCCUAACUUGGUCUUUUUUAUUUUUGGCUGGAAUUGUAUCCCUUUUCUAUUGAUUUUAAUAGUAUUAAUAAUAUGAAAGAAAAAAACCUUUCUUAAUGAGAUGUCAGUUAAAAAGAAAAAAAGGAAAGUAUUAAAAAAAGACUCUUCAGCAUAUUCCAUUUGCUUUCUCCUGUAAGCAGAGCAGCAAUCUUUGUCUAGAUUGUUUUCUUAUUAAUGUAUGUUGAGGAUGAUUCCUCCUUAUUCCAACAUCUCUAACUAGCUAGUUAGCAUUGCAACCUAGUGCCUGGACCUUCCUUUCAUCCCUUCAUACUUGUGCCAUUUUGGGGUACUCAUUCUUCCCCUUUGAUACAUUUCCUUCUUGCUCCCUGUGCAGAACCCAACUCUUUAGCCAAGCUAAUCUCUAUAUUGGGUUUUUCUGUGCCUAUACCAUAAUGUCACAUCUCUGAGGAACUGGCAGCUAAUUCACCUUUGCUUUCAACUAUUAAAUUUGUCUCUGGAGAAAUCUUAGCUAUCAUUCUCUCAAGUGCAUUUUUGUUACAUUGUGAAGAGAUGAAGAGGAACAACAAAGAUUGUGAAAUCUCAUUUCAUGCUCAAUUUCACCCAACUUGCCAAUUGCCUUUGUACUCUCAGCUACUUCACCUUCAUUGUCUAAAACAUAAAAAACCUUUUGCUCUUCACACAUUUCUCCAUUCUGCAAAACAAACAAACAUUAAAAAAAAUCAAGACUAAGCCCCACCACUUUUCUAGAACUUGUUGAAUCAUCCACUUCCCAGUAUGGUUUUUCCCCCAAGAGAUGUCUGCAAGCAUUUAAAAUUCCAGAUGAAUAUAAAAUUCUCAAUAAUUUCACAUCCAUCUGACCUUCCUGGCUUAGUGUUUUGCAAUAGAUCAUAGCCCCUUUUAUCUCUAUACAUAAUUUUCAUGAGAUCUGUUUCUCAACCCCACAGUCUGGGCCUCAGGAUAUUUCCUCACCUAUCUACUAUCUAUGUAACACUCUUCAUCAAUCCCCCUUGUCCUUCAUAUCCUCUUGUUAGGCUACAGUAUCAAAUUCAAGACACUUGGUCAAAAAUCUGUGAGCUUUAAAUUUUCAGUCCUUGCAUAGAAGGUGCUUCCAAACCAACUGCAAAAGUUACAAAGCAGGUCCCCAAGCAUGAACUCAGCAAAUCUCCAGCUUGCACACAGGGAACACAAUAUGAUCCUAAUCAGGGCAGGCUCAAUCAUUCCUUGUCCCUUUGGUCUGAGCCUAAGGCUCAAUCCAUUUUGUCAUGUCAAGUUCCUGCCAGCACUUUCAGUUUUAUGCUCCAAACAUCCUCCAAGACAGAACUGGAGCAUCUGAGCUAGGUGGUGGAGGAAAUGUAAAGGUUGGUGUAAUUUUUGCACUUGCCGCAUCCCACACUGUGUUCCUCAGUAAUCCCGUGCAAAUGUAAUGUGUGUCAGUGGAGCAGCCUGAAACCCUGCAGGACCCCAGGCGAGUGAACCUCUGGGAGGGAAAGCGGUUGCCUAACAUGACCCUGGAUAUUUCCUUAAAGAGAUUUACACCAAAACCACCAAAGAACAUUCCAUUCCCCCUGCCAGAGGAGAGGCAGCUCACACUAUGGUUCCUCCCCAGCAUUGCCUGAUCCAUUCUGGGCUCUGUACACAACAGGGCAGUGUUUACAUCCGCCUUUUAUUGCAUCCCAUCACAGGUGAGCCACUCAGCUGCAAUAAAAAGUCUAAGCUAGAGAAACA
ensembl:lncRNA